AUCAGGGGUUAGAAACAAUUUACUGCAAACAGCCAUGUGAUUAGGAAUCAAACAAUUAUUUGCAGCGACAUUAAUUAGAAAAUUGUAAGACAAAGCAGUGAUUUACAUGGCAAUCCCCUGAGAACACCCCUACCACGUUUUAUCCUGGAAAUAAUGCCCUCGUCCAUGGGAGUGAGAGGGGACACUGCCAGUGCCAUCGCCCUGGGGGCCUGGACAUGCCCCACUCCCAGCUACUGCAAAAACUGAUUCCCGUGGCCAAAAUCACACACCCAAAUAUCCACAUUUUCAGCCCAGUUCGGUCUCCUGGGAAAAACAAGGAGGGGACAAUUUGGGGAAAAGGGAGGGGUUGGGCCUGGUUUGGGGAUCCUGGAACGGGUCAGGGAGCCUGGAAUGGGUCAGGGAUCCUGGAACAGGUCAGGGAUCCUGGAACGGGUCAGGGAUCCUGGAACGGGUCAGGGAGCCUGGAAGGGGUCAGGAUCUUCCUGGAAUGGGUCAGGGAUCCUGGAACAGGUCAGGGAUCCUGGAACGGGUCAGGAUCCUGGAUCGGGUCAGGGAUCCUCCUGGAACGGGUCAGGGAUCCUCCUGGAACGGGUCAGGGAUCCUGGAAUGGGUCAGGAUCAUUGAACAGGUCAGGGAACCUGGAAUAGGUCAGUGGUCCUGGAAUGGGACAGGGAUCCUGGAAAGGGUCAGGGACCCUGGAACGGGUCAGGGAUCGUGGAACGGGUCAGGAUCCUCCUGGAAUGGGUCAGAGAUCCUGGAAUGGAUCAGGGAUCCUGGAAUGGGCCAGGGAUCCUCCAACAGGUCAGGGAUCCUGGAUCAGGACAGGAUCCUGGAAACAGGUCAGGGAUCGUGGAAUGGGU
rnacentral:lncRNA from 1 species